AGAGUUUGAUCCUGGCUCAGGACGAACGCUGGCGGCGUGCCUAAUACAUGCAAGUCGAGCGCGGGAAGCAGACAGAUCUCUUCGGAGUGACGUUUGUGGAACGAGCGGCGGACGGGUGAGUAACACGUGGGCAACCUGCCUGUAAGACUGGGAUAACUCCGGGAAACCGGGGCUAAUACCGGAUAACCUUACGCACCGCAUGGUGCGGAAGUAAAAGAUGGUUCUGCCAUCACUUACAGAUGGGCCCGCGGCGCAUUAGCUAGUUGGUAAGGUAAUGGCUUACCAAGGCCUCGAUGCGUAGCCGACCUGAGAGGGUGAUCGGCCACACUGGGACUGAGACACGGCCCAGACUCCUACGGGAGGCAGCAGUAGGGAAUCUUCCGCAAUGAACGAAAGUCUGACGGAGCAACGCCGCGUGAGCGAAGAAGGUUUUCGGAUCGUAAAGCUCUGUUGUUAGAGAAGAAUAGGUGUCAUAGGAAAUGAUGGCACUGUGACGGUAUCUAACCAGAAAGCCACGGCUAACUACGUGCCAGCAGCCGCGGUAAUACGUAGGUGGCAAGCGUUGUCCGGAAUUAUUGGGCGUAAAGCGCGCGCAGGCGGCUUCUUAAGUCUGAUGUGAAAGCCCACGGCUCAACCGUGGAGGGUCAUUGGAAACUGGGGAGCUUGAGUGCAGGAGAGGAGAGUGGAAUUCCACGUGUAGCGGUGAAAUGCGUAGAGAUGUGGAGGAACACCAGUGGCGAAGGCGGCUCUCUGGCCUGUAACUGACGCUGAGGCGCGAAAGCGUGGGGAGCAAACAGGAUUAGAUACCCUGGUAGUCCACGCCGUAAACGAUGAGUGCUAGGUGUUAGGGGGGUCCAACCCCUUAGUGCUGAAGUCAACACAUUAAGCACUCCGCCUGGGGAGUACGACCGCAAGGUUGAAACUCAAAGGAAUUGACGGGGGCCCGCACAAGCAGUGGAGCAUGUGGUUUAAUUCGAAGCAACGCGAAGAACCUUACCAGGUCUUGACAUCCUCUGACAACCCUAGAGAUAGGGCUUUCCCCUUCGGGGGACAGAGUGACAGGUGGUGCAUGGUUGUCGUCAGCUCGUGUCGUGAGAUGUUGGGUUAAGUCCCGCAACGAGCGCAACCCUUGAUCUUAGUUGCCAGCAUUCAGUUGGGCACUCUAAGGUGACUGCCGGUGACAAACCGGAGGAAGGUGGGGAUGACGUCAAAUCAUCAUGCCCCUUAUGACCUGGGCUACACACGUGCUACAAUGGGUGGUACAAAGGGCUGCGAGACCGCGAGGUUAAGCGAAUCCCAUAAAGCCACUCCCAGUUCGGAUUGCAGGCUGCAACUCGCCUGCAUGAAGCCGGAAUUGCUAGUAAUCGCGGAUCAGCAUGCCGCGGUGAAUCCGUUCCCGGGCCUUGUACACACCGCCCGUCACACCACGAGAGUUUGUAACACCCGAAGUCGGUGAGGUAACCUUUUGGAGCCAGCCGCCGAAGGUGGGACAAAUAAUUGGGGUGAAGUCGUAACAAGGUAGCCGUAUCGGAAGGUGCGGGUGGAUCACCUCCUU
rnacentral:rRNA from 1 species